rnacentral:rRNA from 1 species
AUACGUAGGGUGCGAGCGUUGUCCGGAAUUACUGGGCGUAAAGAGCUCGUAGGUGGUUUGUCGCGUCGUCUGUGAAAUUCCGGGGCUUAACUCCGGGCGUGCAGGCGAUACGGGCAUAACUUGAGUACUGUAGGGGAGACUGGAAUUCCUGGUGUAGCGGUGAAAUGCGCAGAUAUCAGGAGGAACACCGGUGGCGAAGGCGGGUCGCUGGGCAGUAACUUACGCUGAGGAGCGAAAGCAUGGGUAGCGAACAGGAUUAGAUACCCUGGUAGUCCAUGCCGUAAACGGUGGGCGCUAGGUGUAGGGGUCUUCCACGACUUCUGUGCCGUAGCUAACGCAUUAAGCGCCCCGCCUGGGGAGUACGGCCGCAAGGCUAAAACUCAAAGGAAUUGACGGGG